rnacentral:rRNA from 1 species
AUUGAACGCUGGCGGCAUGCCUUACACAUGCAAGUCGAACGGUAACAGGCCGCAAGGUGCUGACGAGUGGCGAACGGGUGAGUAAUGCAUCGGAACGUGCCCGGUAGUGGGGGAUAACUGCUCGAAAGAGCAGCUAAUACCGCAUACGACCUGAGGGGGAAAGGGGGGGAUCGCAAGACCUCUCGCUAUCGGAGCGGCCGAUGUCGGAUUAGCUAGUUGGUGGGGUAAAGGCCCACCAAGGCAACGAUCCGUAGCUGGUCUGAGAGGACGACCAGCCACACUGGGACUGAGACACGGCCCAGACUCCUACGGGAGGCAGCAGUGGGGAAUUUUGGACAAUGGACGCAAGUCUGAUCCAGCCAUGCCGCGUGCGGGAAGAAGGCCUUCGGGUUGUAAACCGCUUUUGUCAGGGAAGAAAUCUUCUGGGCUAAUACCCUGGGAGGAUGACGGAACCUGAAGAAUAAGCACCGGCUAACUACGUGCCAGCAGCCGCCGUAAUAC